GUCGUAUGUUCCCAAAGACAUCUCGUGCUUCGUCGCGGCACACCCAUGAGGGUAACACAACUCCCUCUGUCCCCAAGUUGUGGGAGUAACGUCGUUGCUCUCGCCCCAAGUUCUCAGGGUUUCUCCAGUCUACAUGUUCUGUAUUGUGCCCACAAGGUUUGCCCUGUGAUCAGUUCAAGAUAUCCAUCUGUUGAAAGGAUUCCUCUGGACCAGAAGACAACCUGGCAGUGUGGCCUGUUGCGGCCAACCUGCAGUUCUCUUGCCCAAGUGCAACAGCAGCUUUCCUGAAUGCCCUCAGUACAUUUGUGAGAUAGGAUGCUACAACAGGGUCUGGGGUUAUGAAUUUAGAUUGAAGUUUACUCUGUCAUCUAAUACAGUAUUUCUGAAAGGAUUUAAGAGCACAAGCAUGUAAGAAUGCCCCAUGCGGUCAGACCAGCGAUCUUUCUGGUCCUGUAUUCUGCCUUUGACACAGACGGGAGACAUUGCACAGAUAGAAGGGCGAGUGAGCCUUAACACUCUGUGGUCCAUUCCUUGCAUAUACCCCCAGCAUCCAGAACCAUUGUACUGGGGGUGUUGGAGCGUACCUGGUGCUUUUGAUACUCAUUUGUGGACCUCUCACCUGUGUAUGUGUUGGAAGUUGUUCAGUUGUAGUACAGUUGAAAUCUGACUAUAUGUCUGAAAAUAAUUGAAAGCUUAGAGUAAGGUUUGCCACUGAUGCUGUGUACCAAAUAGUUGCAGUUUUAGCAUCAUGAAGACAAGUUAUAGGGAAGAAAUCUAUUUCUCUCUCUUGCUUUUUGGAUUAUAUAUUUUCCCUUUAAACCCCUUGGUUCCAUCUCUUAUUUGUAGCACUUUGUCUUACUACUGUUGCUGUUUGAGUCCUGCAAGAUUCCCAGUCUACCUCUUUGUACACAUUUCCUUCUUUUAAGUUCCUGAAUGUUUGUGUUUUUUUUUUAAUAUUGGAUUUUCACUCUCUCUUGUCUGUUCUUUUCUGGAUCCUGUACUCAAUUCUCCUUUCAUA